rnacentral:rRNA from 1 species
AGGCAUGCAAGUCGAACGAUCCCUUACUUUGUGGGGGAUAGUGGCGAACGGGUGAGUAACGCGUAGGUAAUUUGCCCUUAGGCUCGGGACAACACACCGAAAGGUGUGCUAAUACCGGAUAAGACCACGGUCUCCAAGAGGCCGCGGUUAAAGAUGGGGAUCCUGAAAAUGGACCUGUCACCUUUAGAUGAGCCUGCGUCCUAUCAGCUUGUUGGUGGGGUAAAAGCCUACCAAGGCGACGACGGGUAGCUGGUCUGAGAGGAUGGUCAGUCACACUGGGACUGAGACACUGCCCAGACUCCUACGGGAGGCUGCAGUCGAGAAUCUUUUGCAAUGCCCGAAAGGGUGACAAUGCGACGCCGCGUGAACGAUGAAGGCCUUCGGGUUGUAAAGUUCUGUCAGCAGGGACGAAGGUAGCGGGGUUAAUAACCCCGUUGAUUGACGGUACCUGCAGAGGAAGCCUCGGCUAACUCCGUGCCAGCAGCCGCGGUAAUACGGAGGAGGCAAGCGUUGUUCGGAUUUACUGGGUGUAAAGGUCAGGUAGGCGUUCUUUUAAGUCGGAUGUGAAAUCCCUUGGCUCAACCAAGGAACUGCAUUCGAUACUGGAAGAAUUGAGUACGAGAGAGGUAAGCGGAAUUCCAGAAGUAAAGGUGAAAUUUGUAGAUAUCUGGAAGAACACCAUUAGCGAAGGCGGCUUACUGGCUCGAUACUGACGCUCAACUGAGAAAGCUAGGGGAGCGAACAGGAUUAGAUACCCUGGUAGUCCUAGCUGUAAACGAUGUUCACUAGGUGCAAGCCCUUCGGGGGUUGUGUCGUAGCCAACGCGUUAAGUGAACCACCUGGGGACUACGGUCGCAAGGCUAAAACUCAAAGGAAUUGACGGGGACCCGCACAAGCGGUGGAGCAUGUGGUUUAAUUCGAUGCUACGCGAAGAACCUUACCACCCCUUGACAUCUUGGUCGCGGAAGCUGUAAUGCGCUUCCUUCAGUUCGGCUGGACCAAUGACAGGUGUUGCAUGGCUGUCGUCAGCUCGUGUCGUGAGAUGUUGGGUUAAGUCCCGCAACGAGCGCAACCAUCGUCCUUUGUUGCUAAUCCUUUAUUGGAUGCACUCUAAGGAGACUGCCAGUUUUUAACUGGAGGAAGGAGGAGAUGACGUCAAGUCCGUAUGGCCCUUACGCCUAGGGCUACACACGUGCUACAAUGGUCGGUACAAUGCGUCGCGAGACCGCGAGGUGGAGCUAAUCGCAAAAAGCCGGCCCCAGUUCGGAUCGGAGGCUGCAAUUCGCCUCCGUGAAGUUGGAAUCGCUAGUAACCGCGGAUCAGCCAUGCUGCGGUGAAUACGUUCCCGGGUCUUGUACACACCGCCUGUCAAGUCACCUGAGUUGAGUGCACCCGAAGCCGUUAGCCUAACCUUCACCGGAGGGCGAUGUCGAAGGUGUGCUUGGCAAGGAGGACUAAGUCAUAACAAGGUAGUGGUACCGGAAGGUGCUUCUGGAUCACCUCCUUUCUAAGGAG